GAUGAACGCUAGCUACAGGCUUAACACAUGCAAGUCGAGGGGAAACGACAUUGGAAGCUUGCUUCCUUUGGGCGUCGACCGGCGCACGGGUGAGUAACGCGUAUCCAACCUUCCCGCAAGUAAGGGAUAACCCGUAGAAAUGCGGCCUAAUACCUUAUGUUUUCCUUAGAGGGCAUCCGAUGUGGAACAAAGAUUGAUCGCUAUGGGAUGGGGAUGCGUCUGAUUAGCUUGUUGGCGGGGUAACGGCCCACCAAGGCAACGAUCAGUAGGGGUUCUGAGAGGAAGGUCCCCCACAUUGGAACUGAGACACGGUCCAAACUCCUACGGGAGGCAGCAGUGAGGAAUAUUGGUCAAUGGGCGGAAGCCUGAACCAGCCAAGUAGCGUGAGGGAUGACUGCCCUAUGGGUUGUAAACCUCUUUAUAAGGGAAUAAAAUACGGGACGUGUCCUGUUUUGCAUGUACCUUAUGAAUAAGGACCGGCUAAUUCCGUG
rnacentral:rRNA from 1 species